rnacentral:lncRNA from 1 species
GUGGAGUUUAUGUUUCAGGGACAGAGCUCAGUGAAGGGGCCUAACAUUGUGCUGGGUGUACAAUAGGCACUCACUGUCACCUGGGCAUUUAGAAACAGUCCUUAUCAUCUCUGAGCUUGUACUCUGGAAAGAAAACUGACCCGAAGCUGUUAAUAGCCACACGGCAGCACACUGCUGUGACAUGGUGUGUAUAGUGAGUCACACUGAGUUUUACUGGUCCAGAGAGGAGGACAUCAAUGUGACUGAAGCCGUGGGCAAGGCCUGGAGAAACAGGAUGGGCCUGAACUAGAUCGCACAGAGGUUGGGAAGGACCUGACCAAAGAAAGAGAAGGGGGGUGAGGGACUGGGUUUAGAAAUUGGUGUGGCUCGAUAAAGGGAACUUAGUGGCUUGAGUCGGAAAUGCCACCCAUUUAUGCCUGGCUUUUCUUAUACUUAGUGGGAAACAUCUGCCCACUUUUUAGCUGGAUUGUGACAGAGUGUAAUUGAUUUGCUGUGUGUGUGUGUGUGUGUGUGUGUGUGUGUGUGUGUGUGUGUGUGUGUGUGAUUGCUUUGGCUAGUGGACUACAGCAUCCUGCAGCAUGGAUUGCUGGAGACAGACUAGCAAGAGGGACUUGAGCCUUUCUCCAGAUGCUGGAGUCAUCCAGGAAGACGAGAGCAUCAGACUCAGAAGGGCACAGGAGAGAGGGCGUCCUAGGGAGGGAGACACACAGACUGUUCCCCAUGUUGAGACCUUUCCUUUUGAAGACUUCAUCUCACAGCAAACUGACAUGGCAACACCACGGAGGUGGUGACGAUCGGGUUUCAAAGGACAACACAGCACGCUGAUGAGAAGCAAUCACCAGAAAGCAAGGACUCCUAAGCCUUGCAAGAUAAAAGGGCCUUCUUUUCUUGGCAAGCUCCAGGGAUGAUCCGCAAUGACGAACGAUAUGACUGUUAUCUUGACACCGUACUCUCCCAUGUUGAAACUGUUUAUGAGAACCACGCAUCAUAUGAAGAACAGAUUGCCAGACGCUAAGUAAAUCAUUGUAAAGGGUGGUGAGUCAAGUAUUGCCAGUUUUACCCACAUUGUCAUUGUUAUGAUGUAACACAUUCCUCGAGACUGAUAUUGUCUCCAAAUUUGGGCACAAAAGCCUCCCCUUGAUCAGUUGGCUGAGAGUCUCUGCCCCCUGAUAUGUCACACUCAGACCCAGCUGCUGAGACCCGAGCAUCCCGAUUUGGACACACAUCCAACCUGAGUUAAGCACAAAGAACAGCCCAGAAAAGAUAGAAUAUUUUAAAAGGUGUGCGGAGAUUACACAAACUGUAAAUUUCAACCCUUGCUUAAGCAAUAAACCCUGUAAUCCUCUCA